UCAAUGAAAUCGUCGCGUGGGGCUUCGGUUGCAGUACCAGCAUCAGUACCAGCGUCAGCAGCAUCAGGAGCUGCGAGCUGCGGAACGAGAGCGCGGCUCUCCGGAUAGGAUGAUGCCCCAAGAAGGAGGAGGAGGAGGCUGCGGUAGACCGGCUACCGUCAUCCCCACGGGCGUCAUCUCCGCGGUCAAUUUGCGACAACCUGCUACGGAAGUACCGGACAAACAACGCUGCGGCUACUUAUCCGAUGCUCUUGAAUCUCCACAGUUGCAUCAAAACAAUGAUCAGAGUUGUGACAGAAGCAGCACCAAAGGAGACAAUCGUCCAAGUUCUUCUUUGCAACCCCAUGCACUGACGCACUUUUAUGAAUCUUGGCCAACAAAACAGGAUCCGUCGUGGCUGUCAAAGUCAAACACAAUGCAAAAUGAGCUGGUUGAUCCAAUGAGUUUAUCGUUGUCUGGCAAUAACACGAGCUUUCUCUCUGAAAUGGACCAAAGCCAGAGUAGGCUUGGAACUAGAAUGGACCAGGUGCACAAUCUUCUGAGCACGCUAGGCAAUAGCGGCAGCAACAGCGGCGGACAAGAAGAUAUGAGUGCAACCUUGCUCUCUAUGAGCAAUUCGGUGGAAAGCUGCAUUGUAAUGAGGCAGUCUGGCUGCCUUCCUAUUCUAAUACAGCUAAUUCAUGCACCUGGACAGGAUCCAGACAUACGAGAGCGGGCUUCUCGAGCACUUUACAAUGUCGUGCACGCUAAAGUCGACGAAAAGUCGCGUAAGCGUGAAAUCCGCGUGCUUCGUUUGCUGGAACAGUUGAGGGACUAUUGCCAAAUGCUGAGAAGCUCCCUGGGAAUGAGGGUAGAGUCUCAGGAUGAGCUGGAAAGGCACCCAGGUAGUACAAUUGCAGCUCUAAUGAAACUCUCUUUCGACGAGGCUCAUCGGAAUGCUAUGUGCCUGCUCGGAGCCUUGUACGCCGUCACUGAACUCAUUGAGAUGGAUCAUGCGGCGCACGGAAGCGACAGCAUCGAUCAAAAUUGCAUUACGUUAAGGCGAUACGCCGGCAUGGCUUUGACCAAUCUGACAUUUGGAGAUGGCAAUAACAAAGCUCUGCUCUGCUCUUUUUGCCAAUUCAUGAGAGCUUUGGUUUCGCAACUUAGAAGCCCGAGUGACGAUUUGAGACAAGUUACAGCCAGCGUUUUGCGUAAUCUUUCAUGGAGAGCCGACAGCAGCAGCAAAAAGACUUUGCGAGAAACUGGAGCUGUCGUUUGUUUGAUGAAAGCUGCAAUGGAAGGACGCAAAGAAUCGACUCUCAAGUCCAUUUUAUCGGCUCUUUGGAACCUUUCGGCUCACUGCAGGGUCAACAAAGUCGACAUUUGUGGUGUCGAAGGCGCUCUGGCAUUUUUGGUUGAUAUGUUGACUUAUAACGCUCCUUCAAAAACAUUGGCGAUCGUGGAGAAUGCUGGCGGAAUAUUAAGAAAUGUAUCGAGUUACAUAGCCGUUAGAGACGAUUAUCGCGCCAUAGUGAGAGAACGCGGUUGUCUCCAAGUUUUACUAGCACAGUUAAAAUCUCCCAGUUUAACAAUAGUUAGUAAUGCUUGUGGUACGCUAUGGAAUCUCUCGGCGCGAUGUCCUCAAGAUCAACGCCUACUUUGGGAUCUCGGAGCUGUUCCCAUGUUACGAAGUCUUGUCCAUUCAAAGCAUAAAAUGAUAUCGAUGGGUUCAAGUGCUGCUUUGAAGAAUCUUUUUAGUGCUUGCCCAAAUGCAAGUAACCUCGUGCAUAUGGAUUCAACAGCGAGAGGUCUUGGACUUCCUACUUUACCUAGUCUAGCAGCUCGAAAACAAAAAGCUCUUGAGCAGGAGAUUGAUCAAAGUUUAGCAGAAACUUGUGACAAUAUUGAGCCAAGCAACUCGCCUACAAGCAAAGAAGAUAAAUUUUCUUUUAAGUUAGACCAAAGCUAUGCUGCAUCUAAUAGAACCGGGAAAUCCGCAAACCAUCGCCGGACACAUAAUUCAAGUCAACAAGCAGGUUCUUCAGCUCAUAAGCUGUCUUUGAAUUUUCCUCGCAGUGAAAGUAGAGAAUCCAUGCGCUCCGUCACUAGCACGCAAUCUGAUACCGUUUUUGAAAAAGUUAAUCGUCAAGCGCGGCACAGUAUGAUGCCUUCCGAGUCGCACAAUAAACAACAAUCUACGUCUUUACAUUCGGCGAUGGAUUAUACUUCUGCCAUUGCAGCUCCUGAAUCUUCGAAAGGACUUGCCGAAAAAAAAUACACUCUCCGCUACAUGAAUGCUAUUCCAGAACGUUUAAAGCCUGGCGAACCAUUACCGGACUUGCGUGGCUUGAAUUCUUGUAAUUCAACCAUAUCAUGGACCGUAACUCCAAAUCAAGAUGCUACGGCCUCAAACGGAUUUCUGCACUCGUCGGUUGAAAAUAAUUUAGCGAUUUCAAACUCUUGCGAUCAAUUAUCAUCGAAUUCUAAAGUAUUUUCGAAUUCUGAAUCUGAAAGCUUUCGCAAUUCUGUCAGUUCUAAAUCUAAAUCGGCAUCUACAUCCAAUAAUGGCAUGAAUUAUGGUACAUAUCGAAAAGGCAGCAAAAAAAUCGCAUCUCCAAUUAGGGAUGAUUUGCCAAAGAAUCAUCCUCCAAUGAAUUUUGGCAACCUUUUAAUGAAACAUUCAGAGGAAACUCCUAUGAAAUAUGAACAAAAUCCGGAGCCAGAACGAUCGGAAACAAAACCAAAAAUUCCCGAAGCUAAACAAGAAGUUUUGUUAAAUUUCAAUUGUACCAGUAAACAAAAUAAUUUUGACCUACAAUCGCAGAACGAUGUAUUAACUUCAAAAGCCGAUUCUCUUCGUUCUACUACCCCUUCUCUAGAGAGUAUGCCAACAUUAGAAGCGUGUAAUUCUUUGGAUAGUGACAGUGCUAUUUUUGAAGAAGACCGCAAUUCUGAGCGAAAUUUGAAAAUUUCAAAUUUCAGCUUACCAAUUGGAAAUUCAUGUAGUACACAGUUACUUCAAGAUUCCAAAACAGAAAAAAAUGAAAAAGCCUGUUUGAAAACUAAUAGAUUGGAGCAUACUACUAAAAAAACGGAUCACAUAAAGUCACCGGAACUAGAACAGCAAUUGCAAGACGACGAUGAUUUUAGCGAAGUAACGCAUACUAAUGAUUAUUACACGGUACAAGAAACUUAUACUCUUGAAAAGAAAAUCCAAAACGACAGUCAAAAUACUUUUGUAAAUGACGAAUGUAGUAUAUCCCAACAAUGCUCUUCGACACUUAGUUACAUUUCUGUAGAUGAUGAGAAUUCUUUGGCCGAAGUUGCUGAUAAAAAUCUAGUUGAGCCUUCUGAUAUCAAAAGCGACAAUCAACCGGUUACCUCUUCGAGCUCGGAAAAUUUUGAAUCUUUUAACUCCAUUGAAAGGUCAGAGCAAGCUCUUUUGGAGUUGUGUAUCAAGACUGGAAUGUCAAAGGCGGAAACUAUGCUGUCGGUUAACGUUUCGAGGGAUGAAAAAUCAAAAUCAAGUGACGCUGUUGACGCUUUACACAAACAAAUGAUUUCUGCAAAUAACUCUGAUUCCACUCGUGAGCCCAUCCCGCAACAAAUGGAGGGAGAAUUAACGAACAAAAGUCAGAAGCAGGAAGAAUAUCGGAGACAGCAAGAUGUAGAUGCAGCAAUAGCAUCUGUCGAUCGAUUAACAGCUGCAUUUAUUCAACAAAGUGAAGCAAUUCGUAUGAAGGAGAGUCUGUUGAGCGAAUACACGUGGAAUGAUGAAGAUUCACCUAACGAAGUGUCGUUUCCCAGCAUAAGCCUAAGCGUACCACAAGUAGCUUCAUUCAAAAGUGAUCUAGAUUCAAAUAAUCAGAGUAUCACACUAGCCUCUUUAGAGCCUUUUGCGAUGGAAGAGCACUCCUCAUGCGCUUUUCAAUGCUCAAGCAAUGAUUCUAUGACAGAAUCGAAAAUCAUCGAAAUGGAAGCCAUCAAGCUUGCAAAGGCUGUUGUUAAUGUUGACCCGAAUCAAGUUAGCUUGGCAUCUAUUAAUCUUGAUGAAAUUAAUCCCCCUUCGACAAUGGGUAGUCUUAUCUCUCUAACUGCUAGUAUUGGUCUUACAGAUAGUCAUGUUGAUAACUCUGGAGCAGAAAAGGAUCAGCCAGAUUCUCUUCCAGUUGUGUUGUCUUCAUCUUGUGGUGGCCGGAAGAAAUCUUUACCCAUUGGAGUUGUCGCGCGACGUGCCUUGAGUCAUGGACAAAAUCGUACUGCUAGUCUAGAAAACCUUUUAAACGAAUGCAACAGCGCCAAUCAUUCACAGCUGGAUAAUGUCAAGCCUCCAUCUAUAAUGGAUGAAUUGUUGGAUCUCGCGGAUAUGGAAAAUAGUAUGUUGAGUGUAGCGAGCAUAACUUCCGAAAUCGCAGAUAGCAAAGAUAAUGAUUCAGUCAGUUUGACCAAUGGUGAUAUUAAUUUCGAUCUCAUCAAACCAGUUGCCAAUGUCUUGUCACUGACUUGCAUGAAAUACGCUAAUGCCAUGCAAGGAAGUGGGAGUAAUAGCCUAAGCGAAUGCUUAGAAAAUAUUAAUCCUCCUUCUCUUUUUAACGAAGUUAAUCAAAUGGACGAGUCGACAAUUGAAUCUUCCACACGUUGCAAUGAUACAAUGUGCAGCGAUCUAGUAGACCUUGGUAGCGAUAAAACUACGAAACUUUCAUGUGCCCUAGAUGAAAGAAUCGAAGAUGUUGCCAAUGAUACGGAUUAUGCUAUCACACCGAUUUCCAGUGAAUGCUGCAGUUCUGUUGAGUCUACACCGAAGCGUCGCCUUUCGAAAAAUCAAUCAGGGCACUUAACACCAAAGCAAAAACGGCAGUUGGUCAAGGAAAGAUAUAAGACGUAUACAAUUGCAGCUGAGAUAAUUAAAAAGGAGCAAGAAGAUUUAAAGAGACAAGAACAAGCCAAUGCUAAUAAUGGAGAAAAUACAAUGAAAUGUAUGUCAGUAUUAAAACUAACACCAAAACAACGCAGGCAGGAAGACAGAGCAAGAUUCCAAACCCAGAUUUUGGAUAACUCGGUACUCAGCAAGCCUGUAAACAAUGAAAGCACAGAGAACGAGACUCGAAAGUUUGAAGGGCCUAGUGAAGAAAAGUCAAUUCCUGUUUUUAAUGCUCCGACUCCGAUAAAAAGUGGUAUUCCCAUGCUCAGAAAAUUCUCCGUUAGUAAUAGGACAUACAAGAUGAAACCAAACUCCGAGUCUCUAAGUUCGAACACCCCAACUAAAUGUGAUAAUGUAAUGAUAAAAAACGAGUCCAAAGGCUCGGGGCCAUUUUCCACCUCUAACGAAUCGGAAUUAAAUCUCACGGUCCGUGAAGCCCACGAAAACGAGCUAAUUGAUCAAGAGGAGUCACUCUCGAACUCUCCCGAUGCCAAAAGUCAAAACUUUAUUGUCGAUGUCCAGGACAAUUUGUACGAAGCACGGAAUCACUACUCGGAAAGCGAUAAUAAUGAUAGCGAUGAUUUGUCCGGUAACGAAGACGAAGGGGAGCAUCAAAAACCUAAGGGGCCCCGAAUCGUAAAACCGGGAACGCUUCGGCGUGAUUUGAGCGUCGAGUCCAACAGUACUGACAAGUCCGAGCCAGAGCCUCUGGUUAAGGGAAUCCGUGGCCGCAGAAAGCCUCUCUACUCCAAAUCGAGUACCAGAUGCUCGACGCCACAGAGCUCGCCUCUGAAGCAGAUAGUAGCCGGGGUUUCUCCCGUUGCCAUACCGCCCAUUAGUCGCAGCAACAGUUCGCCCAUCGUGCGAGCGACGAGAGCCACUACGCUUAGGCAGAACAACAGUGCCCAAAAGUGCAGCGGUGGAUUGGUGUCGGACAGACGGGUUACGGGGGCUGCCGCGAACUCUCCGAGCCAAACUUCAAGCAGAUUGCGCACCUCGAUCCCGCAAAAGUCCCCUGCGGCUCCGAGCUCAGCCUCUGCCAGACGACAGGUGGACUAUUCGCAGAAGCACUCGGAACUGCCCUUCAAAGCUUUGGAGAGACAAGGGACUUUUACCAAAGACGAGCCUGAAAUGGAUAAUGUACCUACGGUCGUUCCAGCUUCGCCUUACAGAGGAAAGCCUACCGCGAAAACGGUUAAACCCGCUGGUAACGUGUCGCCAAAAACAUCACCUGUUCACGGAAAGUCGAAAAUUUCCCCUCGAAAAUUACUUGCUCAAAGGUCCGUUGCGUCAGCCACGAAGCUUACAAAGACAACAAGCGUGGAAAAAAUAUCUGUUGGAACCAACAUUCCAAUUUUAGCGAAGCGCGCUUCGACAAAUUUGUGUUCCCCGGUGGUAAAAUCCUCGUCCAAUUAUCAAAUCGGCAGCAAUGCAGUUUCACUGGGUCAGCGAUCGAAUAGCAACUCCAGUAUAGUCUCGAAUCCUUCGAACCAAGCGAAUCGUAAAGUCAAAGAAACUGCAAGUAAAAUUGCCACUUUGUGGAAAAAAGUUGAAGACAGCAGAAAAAAUCAGCGAUACGAGAAACCCGACACGAGGCAAUGGAUUACGCCGAGUGCGCAAGUUCGCUCUCCUCGUGGCGAGAAAGAUCAGACUUGCAAUCUUUUUAGAAGUUCUACGUUUGAAGGCAUUACGAAAAUUUCAAAAGUCUCGAGUCGAGGUUUCAUUUCACCGACCGCAUAAAGUUAAACUUCCGGUCUUGAAAGCGUUUCCGUUUCGUCCCAGUGCAAAUCUUAUGAAAUAAGACAGAUUGUUAGUUUUUAUUAUUUAUUGAUUUUUUUUUAUGCUUGACUCGAUAAAAUAUAGUGUUCUCCAUUAUAUUAUCGUUUUCAAAUUUCAUGAUUAUUCACACAUUUGUUAUAAUAUUCUUGUACUCGAGUGGAUGAAAAUUUAAAAAAUUUCUCGUUUUAAAUUCAUGAAAGGCGUUUUGUUCUUUCUAUGUAAGUUACUACAACCAAAAAAAAAUAUAAAUAUAUGUUUAAGGAAUUUGCUCAAAAUAUUUAUCGUAUAAAAUGAAAAGCUAAUUAAUGGCUAAACAAUAUGAAUUACAUAUGAGUGGGAAAUUGUGAUUUAUUUUAAGAUUCACAGUCUUAAUUAGAUUUAAAAGUAUUUAAAAAAGUUAUUCUUAAGAUUUUUUGAUAAUUGUGUUUGUUUGUUUUUUUUCUUUUUUUGUAUGAGAUACUGUAAUUAAAGUGCUAGUUGAAAUACAAACAAGUGUCAAAAGAAAAUGUGAUGAUACUUUCGUUCCUUGACUUGGCUUUGCUUUAACCAAUAACGAUCCAUCCAAGUCAAAGAUCAUAUUUUAGAUAUAUGACUGAGUAACGUUUUUCCACUAAUAUUUAUUUUAACUGAAUAAUCUUUUUAAAAGUUAGUUUUGCGGCUUUCAGCCUUCUUGAUCCUUGCUGCUUGGCAGCUCCUGCAUGCGUGAUGAUUGGCAAAUAGGCUGAAGAACCCGUAUUCAGAAAAAUGUGCAACGACCAGACGACGGAUCCCUAGAGCUUGACUGCAGAUAAUUUUGAAAUAAUAAAUAAAUUUUUCAUUCAUCGCCAAAUAAUUAAUUUUGUUUUAUUUGAGUUAUAAUACCCAUGAUCUUCGACACACCUUUAUCCCUGUGCCAGGAUUUUCUUCACUUAACUAGGAAAUCAUGGGAAAUCAGUCCUAUAAGAUCGAAUUACUGUCUACCUGGGAGCGACUGAGAAGUAAGGAUCGAGCAAAGUU
rnacentral:misc_RNA from 1 species